GAUGAACGCUGGCGGCGUGCUUAACACAUGCGAGUCGAACAGAAAGGCUCCUGCUUGCAGGGGUACUCGAGUGGCGAACGGGUGAGUAACACGUGGGUGAUCUGCCCUGCACUUCGGGAUAAGCCUGGGAAACUGGGUCUAAUACCGGAUAGGACGAUGGUUUGGAUGCCAUUGUGGAAAGUUUUUCGGUGUGGGAUGAGCUCGCGGCCUAUCAGCUUGUUGGUGGGGUAAUGGCCUACCAAGGCGUCGACGGGUAGCCGGCCUGAGAGGGUGUACGGCCACAUUGGGACUGAGAUACGGCCCAGACUCCUACGGGAGGCAGCAGUGGGGAAUAUUGCACAAUGGGCGCAAGCCUGAUGCAGCGACGCCGCGUGGGGGAUGACGGCCUUCGGGUUGUAAACUCCUUUCGCUAGGGACGAAGCGCAAGUGACGGUACCUGGAGAAGAAGCACCGGCUAACUACGUG
rnacentral:rRNA from 1 species